rnacentral:rRNA from 1 species
AUGUUCCCCCUUAAUCUUGAUUCUUCAAUCUUCGAUGUGGAUCACCUGCUGCCACUUGACGACGCCAUCGUAGCGCCGCAGCCACUUGCCAUUGUUGAAGCUGUCAUGGCGCCAAUUGCCAUGGACCAUCUUGUCGUGGAUGAUGUCCUCGCGACGCCGAUCACCACACCAUCAUCAUCCUGCGGCAUCGCACCGCAUCUCCUUGUACCGGCCUCGCACCGUCGUCAUGGCAGCCUCGCACCACCGUCUCCUCCUAGCGGCAUCACACCGCAACCACAUGUUCGCGCGGCAUCACACCGCCGAACACCUCCUUGUCGUGGACGACGCCAUCGCAGCGCCAGUCAACACGCAACAUCAGCAUCGAGCACCACACACCAUAUUGUCGGCGACGACACCAUCGCGGUGCCGAUCACCAUGCCGACUUGCUGCUCACAGCGGCCACUUCUUGACGUGGAUCACGCCAUCUUUGUCUCACGGCAUCGCACCGCAACCGUCCGCCGGCGACAUCGCGCCACCGGCAGUCUCCACCUCGCGCCGCCGUCCUCCACCUCACAUGGAGUCGGUCGCAUCGUCGUCGUCGCCGCAUCGGAUCGACGAGGCUCUGAUACUAAUUAUUGGCGCCGCCUCCUCGCAGCGCCGCUCUUCUUCCUCCUCGAGCUGCCUCGCACAACUCUCCUGAGGUUUCUCUCUCUUUCUUUCUUCUCUCGCUGGUUGUUUCUCUCAAGAACAUAG